rnacentral:rRNA from 1 species
GAAUUAAGCAUAUUCAAUAGCGGAGGNAAAGAAACCAACAGGGAUUGCCUCAGUAACGGCGAGUGAAGCGGCAACAGUUCAAAUUUGAAAUUUGACUUCGGUUCGAGUUGUAAUUUGCAGAGGGUAUUUGGAAAGCGACAUGGGCUUAAGUCCCUUGGAAUAGGGUGUCAUAGAGGGUGAGAAUCCCGUAUGUGGCCUCGUGUCAAUUUCAUGUCAAAUCCCUUCGACGAGUCGAGUUGUUUGGGAAUGCAGCUCAAAAUGGGUGGUAAAUUUCAUCUAAAGCUAAAUACUGGCCAGAGACCGAUAGCGCACAAGUAGAGUGAUCGAAAGAUGAAAAGCACUUUGAAAAGAGAGUUAAACAGUACGUGAAAUUGUUGAAAGGGAAGCGCUUGCCAUUAGACGGAUGGACAGGUUGCAGUUGGAGGCAACUCUUGACGUAAAGCACCUGUUUUUCGGCCAGCAUCAGUUUCGGUGGUUCGACAAAGACCGCGAGAACGUGGCUCUUCGGAGUGUUAUAGCUUCAUGGUGUAAUGGAACCUACUGGGACUGAGGACCGCGCUUCGGCUAGGAUGCUGGCGUAAU